ACAAAGAAGCAGCUGACUAAACAGCGUCAGCAGCACUUUCCCUUCGACUACCCCUUGUGAGGUAAAGGAGGCCAACGGCACCGGCCCGCUCACCGCCUUGGCUUGGUCUUAUCUAAAUCCGCGUCCCGAGACGGGAAAUCGAGUCCUCUCCCAAAAUCUCUCCCCGUUUGAGAAUCCGAGAUCGAGGUCGAUCCCUGAAACUCUAAUCUGUCCCAUUAGAAGCAAAACCCUCGUUCUUGACUCGCGUGGAUCGAAGCCGGAAGACUGGUGAAGGCCGAGAAGUGGUUUUCUUGUCGGAUGGGAAUGGAUUCGUAGCGAAAGAUUAGAUUUUGAAGAGAACUACACGGUUAUUUAAGGCAAGGUCAUGGCCAUUCUGAACUACAACCUGGUAGUAAGACAAUUUUCUGCUUCCAGAGGCCAUGGCAAAGCUCCUUAAGUCGGCAACCAUCUCAAAAGUCUAGUUAUAUUAUGCAAACUCAGCCGUCCUUCCGCUACAACAAAAAUAGCCUACAACAACAAAAUUUUCUUAACACUUAGGAAAAAAUAUUAUUGUAAAUGCUCUCUCGUAAUGCUCUUAAGAAAUAACACCGAAGAUUCAU